rnacentral:rRNA from 1 species
GACGAACGCUGGCGGCGUGCUUCAUACAUGCAAGUCGAACGAGAAGCUGACUUCGGUCAGUGGAAAGCGGCGGACGGGUGGGUAAUAUGUAGGAAAUCUGCCUGUAGGAGGGGGACAGCAGAGGUAAACUUCUGCUAAUACCCCAUAUGAGCGUAGCUGAAAUGCUAUUCUUGAAAACUCGGGUGCCUAAAGAUGAGCCUGCAUCUGAUUAGCUAGUUGGUAGUGUAAUGGACUACCAAGGCGACGAUCAGUAGCCGGUUUGGGAGGAUGAUCAGCCACAAUGGGACUGAGACACGGCCCAUCUACCGGCGGGAGGCGGCAGGAGGGUAUUUUGAGCAGCGGGCGCAAGCCUGAGGAAGCAACGCCGCGUGAACGAUUACGCCGUUCGGGGUGUAGAGUUCUGUCAGUGGGGACGAAGCUUGACGGUACCCACAGAGGAAGCACCGGCUAACUACGUG